rnacentral:rRNA from 1 species
UACGGAGGGGCUAGCGUUGUCCGAAGUUACUGGGCGUAAAGCGCGCGUAGGCGGGUUGGUAAGUCCGCUGUGAAAGCCCGGAGCUUAACUCCGGAGGGUCGGUGGAUACUGCCAGUCUUGAAGGUGCUAGGGGGAGAUGGAAUUACCGGUGUAGCGGUGAAAUGCGCAGAUAUCAGGAGGAACACCGAUGGCGAAGGCAGGUCUCUGGGCCACUACUGACGCUGAGAAGCGAAAGCAUGGGGAGCGAACAGG